CGACGGUGGUUUCUACCGGAGGCGUCUUCCAGUAUUCCUCCAGACCCAGAGCCAGACACAGAGCGAUGGCCGCCAUCUGCAGUUCCACAAGAAAGUUCAAAACCUGGAUCAGCUUAUGAAAGAAAUCACGAAGCUGCCACAGGUUCUCCUGCAUGUUGGUAAGUGGAGGAUGAGGUGACAGAAGAUUUGAUUACCUGAGCCUGAACAUGAACCAGCGGAGAGGCGACGACCAUCAGAGCCACGAACUCCACUAAGAUCAGAGCAGAGAACUGUGGGAGGAGAUCACAGGAAUCAGUUACCACAGCAACCGGUAUGUUGCCGUCGAUGGAGGAGAACCCGACGCCAAUCAUCACGACACCAGACGCCUGCAGAGACAAUGGAGGGAAACAAAAGUCAGAAUCAACUCCUGCGUGAAACUGUGACAGUGAAUCAAAGACGUUUCUCCUCCCGACCACGAGGAGGAAGGAGAAGUGAAAGUCUGAGUUAAUCUAAAACAUGCACAGUAAUUAAGUGUAAUCAGCUGAUGUCGUGUAAACAAUAAAAACCCAGCAGCCAAACAGGAAGCAGGGAAACAGGAGCCAGUAAAACACAAAUACACACAAUGGAAAGUUUUCAGUGAGAAACACAAACAUGGUCUCGACACUUUUACUAUGAAACUCGUGAGGAUCAUUUAUCAUCAGGUUGAAUGUUCGAGACGAUGAAAUCAUAUAUUUAACAUUUGA